AUUGAACGCUGGCGGCAUGCCUUACACAUGCAAGUCGAACGGCAGCACGGGAGCAGUCCUGGUGGCGAGUGGCGAACGGGUGAGUAACGCAUCGGAACGUGCCCAGUCGUGGGGGAUAGCCCGGCGAAAGCCGGAUUAAUACCGCAUACGACCUAUGGGUGAAAGCGGGGGACCGAAAGGCCUCGCGCGAUUGGAGCGGCCGAUGUCAGAUUAGGUAGUUGGUGGGGUAAAGGCCCACCAAGCCGACGAUCUGUAGCUGGUCUGAGAGGACGACCAGCCACACUGGGAAUGAGACACGGCCCAGACUCCUACGGGAGGCAGCAGUGGGGAAGUUUGGACAAUGGGCGCAAGCCUGAUCCAGCCAUGCCGCGUGCGGGAAGAAGGCCUUCGGGUUGUAAACCGCUUUUGUCGGGGAAGAAAUGCUCCGGGAUAAUACCCUGGGGAGAUGACGGUACCCGAAGAAUAAGCACCGGCUAACUACGUGCCAGCCGCCGCGGUAAUAC
rnacentral:rRNA from 1 species